rnacentral:lncRNA from 1 species
AAUUCGCAGUCUUAGUCAUGUAGAAUAUGACUCCAUUUUUAUUAAGUUGUACACUUACAUGUGAUUUUAUGCAGUGUUACAUUUGGAAGGAUGUUUACCAAUGUAUUUGUGGUUUAUCAUCGGAUAGGAGAUCUCAGUUUACUUUUACUUACUUCUCUGAACUUUUCUACAUUGAAUUUUUUGAUAGACAUGGUCAUCCUUUUUUUCUUUACCUUUAAACAACAUGGGUUUGAACAUGGUCAUUCUUACAAAAACAUUACAGAUAUGCUCAUAUUUUAAAAAGAGGUAAACUGGGAAAAAGAAAAAUUAGAGACUUUGCAGUCAACAACCUGAGUUUAAAUUCCACUCUGCAAUAUAAUUUAGGCAUAUAACUUAAUCUCUAUGGACCUCAAUUUCCACUGUAUAACUAGGUUAUAGCCUCCAACAGUAUUAGAAGUAGAGGUCAUAUUUUCUUCUUUUGUUUUAUAUAUCAAAAUUUAGAAGUCCCAUUUACUGGGAGUGUCUUCAGAGAGCACAACAGAUAUAUGUCCCAAUUCGGGCCCAUGAGAUACAAGGGUAGGUUUGGUGGAUGCUUCGGGGAAACUGCUCCUCCUUCUCAAGAGUCUCUCUUACCGGGGUUGUUGUGAGAACCUAUGAAUCCUGAAGCCACCACAGCUCAAGCCUCAGGAUGAAGCCAGCACCAGGAGAAGGACAGACCACAGGGGAGCAUGGUCUCUUCAGCCUCACCCUCAGGUUCUCACCGUGGGCUCCACUGGGCAUCCAUAGGACCCUGCAGUUGUGGGCAAAACCGGGGAGACCCAUACAGACAUCGUUUUCCUGACUCAGGGAGCAGGGGAGACUGAGGCAGAUGAGAAGCUCCCGCCGAGGCCACCAGGAUGCCCAGGCCUUGGGGCUCCAGGAAACGUGGUCUCCACGCUCAAUCUCGGCUCAGCCUUCCCCAGAAGAUGCCUCUAGCCGGACAGAGCUGGGUUUUAAUCAUGCCGCCUUCAUAAGCCAGGUGCAUGAUCUCUGGCUAGUUAACUACAGGUGCAUUUCCUUAACCUAUUUAAAAAAGGGGUGGGGGGAUGGUUAGGAACUCUUGCCUGGUUGUGUUGUUGUUACAAUUAAAUCAUGAAUAUGGAGCAUUUGAUGCAGUGCUCAGAAUAGAAGCUACUCUUAAAAGCAAUCCACUCAUAAUAGGGAACGAAGGUUCUAGAAUGGCUACUUUUUAAAACUAUAAAUCAGAACAGAUUCAAUAUAAGAACAUCACUCUCAAUUCUUACUCACUUCCAUUCUGGAGUAGCAGAGAAAGAAGCAGAGGGGCCACUGGCUGCAGAGGGAAUGGCCCAGAGCUCACAGCCUGUCCUGGUUAAGUGGCAGCCAUGGGGAGGCCCUAGAGAAAUGUCACCAAGACCUCUCUGAUCUGGGAGCUAUAUUCAUUCCCACUUCUCAGGCGAGAAAACUGCUGUUCAGAGCGAUGAACUCUUGCAAGGUCACACAGAUAGUCACUGGCAGAGCUGUGAUUUUUAGUCUUGAGCUUUCUCCCUAAUUCAACUUGGGAUAGAGAAAGUAAAAGCUGGCCAGGCGCGGUGGCUCACGCCUGUAAUCCCAGUACUUUGGGAGGCCAAGGCGGGCGGAUCACGAGGCCAGGAGAUUGAGACCAUCCUGGCUAACACGGUGAAACCCCGUCUCUACUAAAAAUACAAAAAAUUAGCCGGGCGUGGUGGCCGGCGCCUGUAGUCCCAGCUACUCGGGAGGCUGAGGCAGGAGAAUGGCGGGAACCCAGGAGGCGGAGCUUGCAGUGAGCCGAGAUAGCGCCACUGCAGUCUGGCCUGGGCGAAAGAGCAAGAUUCCGUCUCAAAAAAAAAAAAAAAGAAAAGAAAAGAAAGUAAAAGCCAGCCCCUCUCCAGCCGUCAGAAUUACAAAAGGUGAACCGGGGACCUGUUGGCAAUCACAUUUCCGACCGUGUAGCAGAAGCUGGUCUAUGGUAAGAGACGAUAAAACCACCACACAGAGAGAAGCAAAGAUGAGGCUCCGCCAACAGAGUUCAAGUCCCAGUUCCGGCCAUUCCUGAAAUCCAGCUGCAACCUUCCCUUUCUAAAACUUGGUUGUUCAAAUUCAGGGUUUGACUCCAGGUGUCAAUAAAGCCCCACUGUGUCCCCAAGUUGUUACAAGUUGGGGAAUAGUCAGUUGCAACCAAAAUGUGCUCUGCCACAGAAGGUGACAUAUGGAAACAAGAGGCAGAAACCCAGAAGUCCAGAGGAUCUGGAAAAAUGAGAGGAAAGAGAAGCCGAGAGCAGCAGAAAGAACAAAGGGUGCAAAGCUAUAAAGAGCCUUUUGCCCAUCUUGCCAAACCAUCAGCUCUCUCACUUGUCCCUGAGCUUGCUGCUUCUGCCCACAGACUGCUUCCCAAACAGCUGUGAAAAUAUCGUGAACUGGUGCUUUUGAACAUUUCCUCUUCCAAAUGCAUGCAAGUUUCACAGCCCCCUGAGUCCCACACGUAGACAAUCACUUAUACCAAUUCCUCCUUCCGAUAAAUGUUCAUGCCAGCUAAAAUAACUCCCCAUCCUUCAGAUCCCCCCACACCAAGUAGUCUCCCUAAGUGCGUGUUCUUCCUGCCCCCCACUCCCCCGCACCCCUCCAGCAGGGUGCUUCUGGAAAGGCAGAUGGCAUGAGUGGAGAGCUGACCCCCAGCUCAGUCUUCAGGAAGGCAGGGCUGUUGAUGAGUCAGCGGGGUCUGCACUGAAGCAUCUGGCCCAAAUUACCAGGAUGAAGACUUUUUCGGCAAAUUGCUCACAGCCCAACAGGCAGCACUCCACGCAGACCACCCCAGCGCUGCUGUUAGUCACGCGUGCAUUUUAAUUUAGCUACAGAAGAGGAAGGAGCAAAGAGCACAGAAUAAUCCUCUCCUUAGAGAGGAAAAUGGGACCUCGGGAGCUUGCAUGGCUUCCCUCAGGUCACUCAGCCAGUCAGAAAAGAAGCGCUCAGCAGGGGCAGGCUCCCUGAGCGUGUCCUAAUCCUAGUCCUCGCAGAACUCUGGUCAUUCUGGGAUCAGCAUCUGCAGUGGUCACAUUCCUCACCUUCCCCCUGCCUCCCACCACCGUCACUUGACUUUCUCUCAGAGCUCAAACUAGAAGGGAUCUGGUUCAGUUCCAUCAACCAUUCAUUCAUUCACUCAUCCAUUCAAAGUGGCGAGGCUGGAAGGGGCCUUAGGGCUCAUCUGGCCAAAUCCUUCCCAUCCGGUGUUCACUGGGCUGUUUGACUCUAAGCCACAAACAUUGACUCUAGCUAACUGAAGCAAAAGAAGACUCAGAGUUUAUUUAAAGUAAAAGAAGAAGCUCAAAGAAUUGGAAAAUUUUUUAAAAAGCUGAAGACUUGUGUCCUAAUAGGACAGGCUCCAGGGACCUUAAAAGCAUGAAUUUAAUGAUCUAUAGAGUG